ensembl:lncRNA
GAAUUCCGUGGACAGCGGGGCUGGUGGGCUGUAGUCCAUGGGGUUGCAAAGAGUUGGGCACGACUGAGCGACUAACACUUACUAUGUACUAAGUCACUUCAGUCAUGUCCAACUCUUUGUGACCCCAUGGACUGUAACCUGUCAGGCUCCUCUGUCCAUGGAAUUCUCCAGGCAAGAAUACUGGAGUGGGUUGCUAUUUCCUUCUCCAGGGGAUCUUUCUGACCUAGGGAGCGAAACUGUGUUUCUUAUAUCUCCUGCAUUGGCAGGUUGUCCCUGGAUCUGUUUUCCAUGGUUCCUGCCCUUUGAUUUUAUGCUUCUUAUCAAGGAUGGCCCCACCUACCACGCCCAUAAUUCCUCAACAGAUAUUAAAGGCUCAAGCAAAUGUCUCAUGGAAAGAGGCCAGGGUGGAACACUGUCACGGUUUCCAUCAGGCUGUUCCCCACGUUCCUGGACCCUCUACUGGCUGAGAGUGUCAUGCCUCGGCCUCUGUGUGCUUUGAUGCCAGCAGUGGGAACUGCUGACCUUCUUCAGAGGACCACCCUUGGGCUAUUGGCGCUGCUUUGCCCAUCCUGCAAGCAGGGAUCCAGAAGUACCUGGGAACUUCUGUCUGCUGGCGCAGCCUGGAGCCGGUAGCUGGCAGUGUGGGUGUGUGGAAGCCCCACUCACUUGCUUCCAGGUGGGACAGAGCAUGUUCCAUCAUUCAUGCCACAGGAGCCCACAGAAGCCCACAGAAUCAGACUGGGGCUGGGACUGGGUCUAAAAUUGCCACUUCCUGGGACUUAUUUCUCCUGUCCUGUUUCCCCAUCCUUCUCCUAUUUCUCUGGGAGUUCUUCCUGAGUAAAAGAAGAGCUUGAUCCAUUUAAGCACAUGAGACCUUGUCUCAGGUUCUGCUUCUUGAGCACCCGGCCUAAGACAUGGAAAUUCUCUAAAAUGGAAUGUGAUAUCAUGGUAAGAGAAAAGUCUUUCAAAUGGUAGAAUUUGGACUCAAAUCCUUGCCUGCAGAAUUGAUCUAAUAUAUACAUCCAUGGACUCAGUUCACUUUCCUAAUUUUGUCUCCAAACCUAAAAAUUGGAGGUAAUAAUCACUGCCUUGUGACUACAAUCUUGCAAACAUACCUAUUUUAUGUCUAUAAAUCUGUAAUUAUAUCCUAAACAGUAUUUGAAAGCUAUAGGUCAACACUGUCCAAUAGGCCUUUCUGUAACGAUGGAAAUGUUCUCUGUACAAUUCAAUAC